GCUUUAUGGCCGGAACAAGCGCCUGCAGGAGCUGGUGAACCUCGUGGUUGUGUGCGGUGACCACGGCAACCCGUCCAAGGACAAGGAGGAGCAGGCCGAGUUCAAGAAGAUGUUUGACCUCAUCGAGCAGUACAACCUGAACGGGCACAUCCGCUGGAUCUCCGCCCAGAUGAACCGUGUCCGCAACGGUGAGCUGUACCGCUACAUUUGCGACACCAAGGGUGCCUUCGUGCAGGUAAAAACCAUAUAUAACCAGGGCUGCUCCAGCAUUCAUGUCUUGGUUGCAAAAUCAUUUGUUCUGACGGUGGUGCCUGUUUGUGCACACAGCCUGCUUUCUACGAGGCGUUCGGGCUGACGGUGGUUGAGGCCAUGACCUGUGGCCUGCCCACGUUCGCCACCGCCUAUGGUGGUCCGGCUGAGAUCAUCGUGCACGGCGUGUCUGGCUUCCACAUUGACCCGUACCAGGGCGACAAGGCGUCGGCGCUGCUCGUGGACUUCUUUGAGAAGUGCCAGACGGAUUCGAGCCACUGGAACAAAAUCUCCCAGGGCGGGCUCCAGCGUAUCGAGGAGAAGUAUGCCUGCAUGCAGCUUACAUAGAACACUGUGGAUGGCAACCAUUUUGAUCAUGUUCUUACCCUCACCGGUGGCGUUUUGAUGCAGAUACACCUGGAAGCUGUACUCGGAGAGGCUGAUGACCCUGACGGGCGUGUAUGGUUUCUGGAAGUACGUGUCCAACCUGGAGAGGCGCGAGACCCGGCGGUACCUGGAGAUGCUGUACGCGCUCAAGUACCGCACCAUGGCCAGCACCGUGCCGUUGGCCGUGGAGGGAGAGCCCUCCAGCAAGUGAGCGCGCGGCGGCGGCGGCGGCGACUAGAGAUCUCACCUGAUGAGCGAAAGGGAGCACUUGGAGUUGUGUCUUUUCCCUGGGUUUCCUUCCCCUGACCAGGAGGCGAAAAAAGAGUCUGCUUUUUCCUAGGCGAC
rnacentral:lncRNA from 1 species